UAUGGCCAUAACACAUUGGAACACUGAUUCCCAUACAAUCUCCACCAAAGUUAAGCAAUGUCAAUCCAGGUCAGUACUUAGAAGCAUGACCCCUUGGGAAUACCAGGUGUUGUAUG